AGAGUUUGAUCCUGGCUCAGGAUGAACGCUAGCUACAGGCUUAACACAUGCAAGUCGAGGGGCAGCAUGGUCUUAGCUUGCUAAGACUGAUGGCGACCGGCGCACGGGUGAGUAACACGUAUCCAACCUGCCGUCUACUCUUGGACAGCCUUCUGAAAGGAAGAUUAAUACAAGAUGGCAUCAUGAGUCCGCAUGUUCACAUGAUUAAAGGUAUUCCGGUAGACGAUGGGGAUGCGUUCCAUUAGAUAGUAGGCGGGGUAACGGCCCACCUAGUCUUCGAUGGAUAGGGGUUCUGAGAGGAAGGUCCCCCACAUUGGAACUGAGACACGGUCCAAACUCCUACGGGAGGCAGCAGUGAGGAAUAUUGGUCAAUGGGCGAGAGCCUGAACCAGCCAAGUAGCGUGAAGGAUGACUGCCCUAUGGGUUGUAAACUUCUUUUAUAAAGGAAUAAAGUCGGGUAUGCAUACCCGUUUGCAUGUACUUUAUGAAUAAGGAUCGGCUAACUCCGUGCCAGCAGCCGCGGUAAUACGGAGGAUCCGAGCGUUAUCCGGAUUUAUUGGGUUUAAAGGGAGCGUAGAUGGAUGUUUAAGUCAGUUGUGAAAGUUUGCGGCUCAACCGUAAAAUUGCAGUUGAUACUGGAUAUCUUGAGUGCAGUUGAGGCAGGCGGAAUUCGUGGUGUAGCGGUGAAAUGCUUAGAUAUCACGAAGAACUCCGAUUGCGAAGGCAGCCUGCUAAGCUGCAACUGACAUUGAGGCUCGAAAGUGUGGGUAUCAAACAGGAUUAGAUACCCUGGUAGUCCACACGGUAAACGAUGAAUACUCGCUGUUUGCGAUAUACGGCAAGCGGCCAAGCGAAAGCGUUAAGUAUUCCACCUGGGGAGUACGCCGGCAACGGUGAAACUCAAAGGAAUUGACGGGGGCCCGCACAAGCGGAGGAACAUGUGGUUUAAUUCGAUGGUACGCGAGGAACCUUACCCGGGCUUAAAUUGCAGAUGAAUUACGGUGAAAGCCGUAAGCCGCAAGGCAUCUGUGAAGGUGCUGCAUGGUUGUCGUCAGCUCGUGCCGUGAGGUGUCGGCUUAAGUGCCAUAACGAGCGCAACCCUUGUUGUCAGUUACUAACAGGUUCUGCUGAGGACUCUGACAAGACUGCCAUCGUAAGAUGUGAGGAAGGUGGGGAUGACGUCAAAUCAGCACGGCCCUUACGUCCGGGGCUACACACGUGUUACAAUGGGGGGUACAGAGGGCCGCUACCACGCGAGUGGAUGCCAAUCCCCAAAACCUCUCUCAGUUCGGACUGGAGUCUGCAACCCGACUCCACGAAGCUGGAUUCGCUAGUAAUCGCGCAUCAGCCACGGCGCGGUGAAUACGUUCCCGGGCCUUGUACACACCGCCCGUCAAGCCAUGGGAGCCGGGGGUACCUGAAGUGCGUAACCGCGAGGAGCGCCCUAGGGUAAAACUGGUGACUGGGGCUAAGUCGUAACAAGGUA
rnacentral:rRNA from 1 species